AAAUAAGAAGCAAUUUGCAUUUAGUUUCGACCUAAAAGAAAGAUUUUAUUAAUCCUUAUUUU
rnacentral:tRNA from 1 species